rnacentral:tRNA from 1 species
GUCACUUUGGCCGAGUGGUUAAGGCGCCUGAUUCGAAAUCAUGUGGGAUCUCCCGCGCAGGUUCAAAUCCUGCAGGUGACG